CACAGCUCUUCCGGGUCACAUCGCCGCUGCUGCUGCUGACGGGGCUGACGCAACCCUGUAAUACUAAGGUCAAGUGCAGCGCCACAGUACAGCGCUCCCACGGUGAUCUGGGACCGCUGGAGCUGGUGUCAGGGAAGGUGACAGAGCUGGAAUGCAUCGUCACCCGAGUGGAACGCAUACAUGCGAUCACCAGGGCAACGCUGUGAGCUUCCGCCGGAUGUAUGUCACGAUGUGAGACUUCCGGGUGGCGGGUCCCGGAGCCCGGCUGCGUCUGGCGGCAUGACUGAGGGGAUUUAAGCGGGGUGAAAUUCUAGAUUGGAGAUGAGGAAGAGGACAUAGCUACAGUACCAGAAAUAAUGCUCCAGAGAAAUAUCUGCAAAUGUUCAGCUACUAUAUCUGAGAAGAUGAAAAUGUAGAGUUGUAUGAUAUCAGCAAGACAUCUGCAACAACCAAAAUGAUGAAGAUUGGAGAUGUUUGAUAUGAGUAUGGAAGAAGAACGAGACAUCUACAAGAUUGACAAUGAGGAAGGCAUCACCACCAAGAAAAUGUCUCACAGUGAGAUAAGAAGACCUCCUGGCUUCACGUUUAUAAAAGUAGCCGAGCCAGAGAUAACUGCUGAAACUUAUAACACAAUCAUCAGAUUCCACAAUAGUGAUGAAGAGGAAGACAUCUCUGAUGCUGAGACUUACAUCCCAAAGGUCAAAUUCUAUGUUUGUGAUGGAGCACUGGACGUCACCAACAAGAAAAUGUCUCCUGGUGCAAUAAAAAGACCUCCCAGGCCUCACACCAAUAUAAGAGAGGAGCCAGAGAUAAGUAUUUGGGUUGAAGCACUGGGCGUCACCACCGAGGAUGUCACCAAUGCGUACAUCACCACUAAAAAAAAACCUAAAAACAAUUUUUGGACAUGGAUUCAAUCAAAGCUGGCCAAAAAAUCAAAGAAGUAUGAUAAUGAGGAAGGCGUCCCUACCUAGAAAAAGCCCCCAAGAAAAUGUUUUUCAAAUGUAUUUGAGUUAAAAUGGGCAAAAGAUCAAAGAAGUCCAUCUAAGCUGAUUAUAGUAAAAAAGACAAACUCUCCAUCUUGCAGAUGUUAGUUACAACUAUGAACAACUUAAAUAUAAGAUAAUAAAAUACCAGGGACGUGCAGUCAGGGGAGGCAGUGCCUCCCCUGUCUUCAAUGAUUAAAAUAAUAUAAAGAA